UCGAUUGAGAGAACCAUCUAUCUGACGCCUGUUAAGCCAGCUUCUGUGGACAAAGAAAAUGGCGAGCUUGAAGGAAAAAAAAAGGCUGUUUCAGAUGCCAGUAGGCCUGAUGGAAUAACAAAAAGGACCUGACAAUGAAUACCUUUUAUCUUAAAGAGUGGAGAAACAGUGAAUAAAUACCCACUGAGAUCUGAGGCACAGGGGACCAGAAAGGAGAAAUCCAACUCAGACCAUUCAUCAAAACAUGGCUUAUAUGAGAUAGUCUAGCAAAAUGAAAAGUGGACCUCCUCCUACUGAACUCUGACAGCUAAGAGAGGAUGUUGAUGGAUGGCAACGGCAUUGCUAUAGGAAAAGUAAACGCUAACAGGAGACUGCAUGGCCAAC